ACUCAAAGGAAUUGACGGGGGCUCACACAAGCGGUGGAGGAUGUGGCUUAAUUCGAGGCUACGCGAAGAACCUUAUCCUAGUCUUGACAUGGUUUGGAACCCUCCCGAAACGGAGGGGUGCCCGCAAGGGAGCCUUACCACAGGUGCUGCAUGGCUGUCGUCAGCUCGUGUCGUGAGAUGUCGCGUUAAGUCGCUUAACGAGCGAAACCCUUGUCCUUAGUUACCAGCGGGUAAAGCCGGGGACUCUAAGGAGACUGCCGGUGUUAAACCGGAGGAAGGUGGGGAUGACGUCAAGUCCUCAUGGCCUUUAUGACUAGGGCUGCACACGUCCUACAAUGGUCGGCACAGAGGGAUGCAAAAUCGUGAGAUCGAGCAAACCCCAAAAAUCCGGCCUCAGUUCGGAUUGCAGGCUGCAACCCGCCUGCAUGAAGCUGGAAUCGCUAGUAAUCGCGGGUCAGAAUACCGCGGUGAAUGUGUUCCUGAGCCUUGCACACACCGCCCGU
rnacentral:rRNA from 1 species